rnacentral:rRNA from 1 species
CCUACGGGAGGCAGCAGUGAGGAAUAUUGGUCAAUGGCCGCGAGCCUGAACCAGCCAAGUAGCGUGAAGGAUGAAUGUCCUACGGGUUGUAAACUUCUUUUAUCAAGGAAUAAAGUGAGGCACGUGUGCCUUUUUGUAUGUACUUUAUGAAUAAGGAUCGGCUAACUCCGUGCCAGCAGCCGCGGUAAUACGGAGGAUCCGAGCGUUAUCCGGAUUUAUUGGGUUUAAAGGGAGCGUAGAUGGGUUGUUAAGUCAGUUGUGAAAGUUUGCGGCUCAACCGUAAAAGUGCAAUUGAUACUGGCAGCCUUGAGAACAGGUGAGGUAGGCGGAAUGCGCGGUGUAGCGGUGAAAUGCUUAGAUAUCACGAAGAACUCCGAUUGCGAAGGCAGCUUACUAAACGGCCACUGACAUUGAUGCUCGAAAGUGUGGGUAUCAAACAGGAUUAGAUACCCUAGUAGUC